ACGGGUGAGUAACACGUAUGCAAUCCACCUGUAACAGGGGAGUAACCGGAGAAAUCCGGACUAAUACCCAUAAUAUGGGCGCUCCGCAUGGAGAGUUCAUUAAAGAGAGCAAUUUUGGUUACAGACGAGCAUGCGCUCCAUUAGCCAGUUGGCGGGGUAACGGCCCACCAAGGCGACGAUGGAUAGGGGUUCUGAGAGGAAGGUCCCCCACAUUGGAACUGAGACACGGUCCAA
rnacentral:rRNA from 1 species